UGUGAAGACAGGUUGACUAACAGCACAGCAGUCUGGCUGAUUGAUAUUGCCAAUACUCGUACAAGUAUCAGGUGCUGUCAACUUUUAGACUGGCUAGAUAAAUGCCAAUGACGACAUUUCACGGAUGUUCAUCGCUUUUUUACCAAAUUCGAGCCUAAUUCUAAUCAACGAAGUUGCCAAAUGACAUCGUUAGAGAUCGACAAAGUAAGUUCACAUUACUUGUCAAAAAAGAUGUUUCUAGAUUAUAUGAAUGCUAUGGCCAAUUCUUGACAUUAUCAUUUGUUAUUGUUGUUGUUCCACGUGUUUAUUAUUGUUGUUACUUACUGUGGUCUGUCAGCAAAGCAAAAGCAUUGUAACGUAUAACUAAUCUCCCAAUAUACUUACAAAUGUAACACCAUCAAGACGUUGUUUAGCAUUGUCUGACUUGAACUGUUUAAUUAUUAUUGUUAUAGUCAUA